AUGAGGAUGCGGCACUUCCUGUUCCAUCUAGAUCAACGGGCGCAGAGGGAGGUGGAAGAAGAGCCACGACCACCGAGCAAGAGGCUGCCGCCUAGCACGCAUCUUACUGCGGCUAUUUUGUCCAUGAGCUGGUGGAUAAGUUUUGAACCCAAAGAGACGCAUCUAGACAAUGGUUGCAUGAGUGGUUCCUGUGUCAUAUACGCCAACAUCAAUUCGCUACCAGGUUGGAGAUUUGGGAUCGGAUGCUGCGCCAAGAACGAGGGACCAAGUACAGUUGUAAGAUCUAUGUUUCUAGCUUGCACCUUUAACUGGACGGUUAUCCUAGACCACUUGGGGACAAUAUCAUCAAUUUCUUGCAUACUGCAUUGCAAGUUCAAAAAGCCAGUUUCUUAUUAUCUCUGUGUUCACCUAACUGCCAAGAAUCAUAAAAGGAUGCACCUAAUGAGUCCACCUAGGGAGCUGCACAGAUUUGGAACAACUUCUAGAAUAGGCAUCCAAGCAUUUUGGUUUGGUACCACUAAGCUGCCAGAGCAAGAUAGCUGGGAUGAUGAAUCAGAAACUAAAGAUGAUGAUCCCAUGGACACAGAAGAAGCUUCCUCUGUCCUUAUUGCUGCACUGCAGUCUUUCAACCAAGCUCUAGUGAAUGACGAUGAAGAAAAAGAUACCGUGACAGAGGUAGAUGUCUUCUUGCGUCCUACCCUAGAUGACAGGGGCUCUCUCGUCAGCAAAAUAGCUACUCUGGAUGCGCAGAUGACGAUCGCAAGAGAUUGUACCUUACGGAUAAGGCGUAUGUGUAUGCUGGUUCAGUAUACUCUGUUUGUACGUCUGGUUGGCAGGAGAUUAAGCAAUGGGCGAGGUUUCGUAUCUUCUCAGGGGUUGCUAUGUAUCUUGCCAUGCAUACUCAGCUUCUUUGGGUCCAAGGUAUUCUCUUUCCUUCUUUCUUUCUUUCAUGAAGAGGUUAAGUCGGAGGAGAGGACCCGGAUCCCGGACGGCGCACUGCUUUGGUCCCAGUCCACUCGCCAUGUUUGGCUACCUAGCUCGACCCUGCGCAGGGCUCUCCCAGCACCUAGGCUCGCCUCCCCGCCUCGCACACCGGAUCCCGCCAUGGAUAAUCCCUUAGAUCCCAGGAUCCCGCGGGCUGCCCUCUCGCUGCGGCCCGCAACACUGCCACCUUUGAGCAAAACGCACAUGUGGUGGACAACAAGAGCAAAUCGGAUUGAGGAAGUGUCGCAUCGAUUGGAGAGAAGUUCCAAGGAGCUGCGCCGGGUGCAGCACAAGGUGGAGGCCCAAGUCAAUCUCAAGGGAGAGAUGCUGAGGGAUGUCAGCAUCUGGCAGCAUCGCAUUGAUUUCGAGCUAGGGCUAAUGGCAGAGAUCAUAUUCACGGAGUCGACUGCAGAGGAAAGAACGCGCAUGCCUGCGCAAUGGCAUGAGCAGUCGGUGCAACUGUUCAAAUGGGCGAGCUCUGUGUUGAGAACUACUCGUAACAAGGGAGCUGCAACCAAGGCUGCAAAAAAAAAGAGGGCUCGCCGCCUCGUAGAGACCUCGAAAGAUCUCUCACGGGCAGGCGAUGGCUACCAGGAGCGCCCUAGCCGCGGAGGCGAACAUGCCGAGCUGGCGGCGCUGGAGUCUUUUCCCUUGACGGCAUGCCCGAUCAGCUCAGCCCUCGUCAUGGAACAAAAGGAGGAGUUGGUGAAGCUCCGCAUAGAGCACCCGGCUGCUGUCAAGGUACAUAAUGCAGCCGUAGAACAGAUGAUGAAGGCUCGCGUCGAGAAAUCCUACGUCAUGGACAGAAUGAAGAAGAUGGCAGAGGAGACACGCAAGGAGAUGGAGGUCGUGGAGGCGAUGAAGAAGCAGUUACGACUCCGCGGCCAGCAACCCUUCAUGUAG
rnacentral:rRNA from 1 species